AUGGAGCGCGGCGUGCGGGAGCUGUGGGCGGAGUCGCGCGAGCUGCUGGGCCUCCACUCCCCGGACGCCGUGGCGCGCGCCGACCUGCCCCCGACCCCGCUCGCCUUCCUCCGCGACCACGUCUCCCCGGGCCGCCCGCUCCUCGUCUCCGCCGCCGCCACCCGCCACUGGCCCGCCGCCUCGCUCUGGCCCACCGAAUCCUACCUCCCGGACGCGCUCCGCUCCACCGACGUCUCCGUCCACCUCACCCCCGACGGCCGCGCUGACGCCCUCGCCGCGCACCCGCGCCGUCCCGGCGCCAGGUGCUUCGCGUCGGCGCACGUCCGCCGGGUCGACUUCCCCGCCGCCGUGCGACUCAUCAGGGACUCCGACCCGGCCGCCGGCCUGGUGGCGUACGCGCAGCAGCAGGACGACUGCCUGCGCGGGGAGUACGCGGCGGUGGCCGGCGACGUGGACGCGCACGUGCCCUGGGCCAGCGAGGCGCUCGGCUGCCUCCCCGAGGCCGUCAACCUCUGGAUCGGCAACGCCUGCUCCGUCACCUCCUUCCACAAGGACCACUACGACAACAUCUACGUCGUCCUCUCCGGCGAGAAGCAUUUCCUCCUCCUGCCCCCCACCGAGCACCACCGCCUCCACGUCCGCGACUACCCCGCCGCCGGCUACGUCCCGGUGGAGGAAGGGGAGGAGGUGCCGGAGCUCAAGCUGGAGAUGGAAGAGCCCGAGAGGGUCGUGCCGUGGAGCAGCGGACCCGUACCCGGCGUCGCCGGAGGAGAUGGCGGCGCAGGUCUCAGCCUGCCCGCUCUACUUCAAGGGUCCCAGGCCGAUUCGUUGCACCGUCCGCGCCGGCGAGAUGCUCUACUUGCCGAGCAUGUGGUUUCACCAUGUCAGCCAGAGCCCCGGGCCUAA
rnacentral:rRNA from 1 species